rnacentral:rRNA from 1 species
CUACGGAGGAUGCGAGCGUUAUCCGGAUUUAUUGGGUUUAAAGGGUGCGUAGGCGGAAAGUUAAGUCAGCGGUGAAACGCAGGUGCUCAACACCUGACCUGCCGUUGAGACUGGUUUUCUAGAAUGCGGAUGCUGUGGGAGGAAUGUGUGGUGUAGCGGUGAAAUGCAUAGAUAUCACACAGAACACCGAUUGCGAAGGCAUCUCACAAAUCCGCGAUUGACGCUGAGGCACGAAGGUGCGGGGAUCGAACAGGAUUAGAUACCCUGGUAGUCCGCACAGUAAACGAUGAUAACUCGCUGUCGGCGAUAGACAGUCGGUGGCCAAGCGAAAGCGAUAAGUUAUCCACCUGGGGAGUACGACCGCAAGGUUGAAACUCAAAGGAAUUGACGGGG